rnacentral:lncRNA from 1 species
AAUAUAUUAAAGGGGCACUAGCUGUCAAAUUCAUGGUCACCGAUUUGACUCAAAUUCUCAUAUUUGAUUUGUAACAAUGUAAAACAUUUAUUCAAACUAUCAAAAGUCUAAAAUAAACAGUUUACAGAGCAUGGGGUAGAUAAUAUAUAGGUUCGUUUCGUGUGUAUUUUAGUCCAGACGCCAUCUAAUUAACUAACGAUUUGACCUCAGAUGACCAUAUAAGCGAUGUAAACAUAAAUAAAGAUAUGAAUAGAUUAAACCAACAC